CUAUUGCACUCUUUCUCUCCAUCUCCCUCUCUAUUGCACUCUUUCUCUCCAUCUCACUCUCUAUUGCACUCUUUCCCUCCACGUCGUUCUCUACCUCCAUCUUCCUUUCUCCCUGUGUUUCUCCAUCUCAACUCUCUGUCCAUCUUAUCUGUUCUGCACUGGCAUCCAUUAUUCAUGGCCCAUAACCACACCUUUCUACAAACUGCCUUGUUCUCUCGCACCCCGUCAGAUGUGACGGAGGCAGAGGAGGAAGAAGAGGAUAGUGCAGCGGCAGGAGACAGCCAGGGAGAAAAUGAUGACGAAGAGGAGGAGGAGGGCAAGGCUCAGGCAGGGGCAACAGAAGAGCCCCAGAAAGAGGCCGGCGAUGGGGGCACGAACAAGCAGGCGGUGAGGAAGAGGAGGGUACGGAAAGAGUGAAGAGUGAACCAAGCGUGGAAGACCCCCCCC
ensembl:lncRNA